rnacentral:lncRNA from 1 species
CCCUGCACCUCCUGUUACGCCAAACGAAAGCACAACAGCAGCUACGUGGAAUUACCUUGAGAUUCAGUCUCAAAGGUAAUUGACAAAUUACCUGAGUCUCAAAGACAGCAAAUACAUGCAGAGAAUUUUCCUUCUUUUUAAUGGCUACCCUAUGAAGAAGUAUCACAAUGACCUCAAUCAAUACUCAACUGAAUAUUUUGCAUUUCUAGACUCUUGAAGAAACACAGUGCAUGGGGAGGUAGGAGAUGCUCUGCAUUGUAAUAUUGUAAAUUUGAUUCCCUUUGAAUAGUGGCUGUCAUGUUUGGAACACUUUUUUUGUAAACUUCAUAAUUUUUAUAUCUAUUUGGAUAUUUACG